AUCACUAAGCGGAGGAAAAGAAACUAACAAGGAUUCCCCUAGUAACGGCGAGUGAAGCGGGAAGAGCCCAGCACCGAAUCCCCUGUCGCUGCGGCAGUGGGACCUGUGGUGUUUAGGACGACCCUUGGCGCGUUGUGCCUUCGUCCGAGUCCUCCUGAUCGGGGCCUUUCCCAUAGCGGGUGUCAGGCCUCUAGUUUAGGCGAGGGCCGGCGUGCCUCAGUACGUCCUUGGAGUCGGGUUGUUUGGGAAUGCAGCCCAAAGUGGGUGGUAAACUCCAUCUAAGGCUAAAUACUGACACGAGACCGAUAGC
rnacentral:rRNA from 1 species